rnacentral:rRNA from 1 species
GCGAACGCUGGCGGCAGGCUUAACACAUGCAAGUCGAACGGGCAUAGCAAUAUGUCAGUGGCAGACGGGUGAGUAACGCGUGGGAACGUACCUUUUGGUUCGGAACAACACAGGGAAACUUGUGCUAAUACCGGAUAAGCCCUUACGGGGAAAGAUUUAUCGCCGAAAGAUCGGCCCGCGUCUGAUUAGCUAGUUGGUAGGGUAAUGGCCUACCAAGGCGACGAUCAGUAGCUGGUCUGAGAGGAUGAUCAGCCACAUUGGGACUGAGACACGGCCCAAACUCCUACGGGAGGCAGCAGUGGGGAAUAUUGGACAAUGGGCGAAAGCCUGAUCCAGCCAUGCCGCGUGAGUGAUGAAGGCCCUAGGGUUGUAAAGCUCUUUUGUGCGGGAAGAUAAUGACGGUACCGCAAGAAUAAGCCCCGGCUAACUUCGUG